rnacentral:piRNA from 2 species
UAGGUUGCUAAGCUAUUC